rnacentral:tRNA from 2 species
CGGGAUGUAGCGCAGCCUGGUAGCGUACUAGCAUGGGGUGCUAGGGGUCGCUGGUUCGAAUCCAGUCAUCCCGACCG